UACGAAGGGUGCAAGCGUUACUCGGAAUUACUGGGCGUAAAGCGUGCGUAGGUGGUGAGUUAAGUCUGAUGUGAAAUCCCCGGGCUCAACCUGGGAAUGGCAUUGGAUACGGGCAGGCUAGAGGUAGGUAGGGGAGAAUGGAAUUCCCGGUGUAGCGGUGAAAUGCGCAGAUAUCGGGAGGAACACCGGUGGCGAAGGCGGUUCUCUGGGCCUUACCUGACGCUGAGGCGCGAAAGCGUGGGGAGCAAACAGG
rnacentral:rRNA from 1 species